AGCUCCGAUAGCGUAUAUUAAAGUUGCUGCGGUUGAAAAGCUCGUAGUCGGACCCCGGGGACCCGCGGCGGGCCCGGCCCGCCCCGAGCGGGCGCGCGCCGGCCCCCGCGGCCCCUCCCGUCCGGAUCGCUCUCCCCCGCCCUCGACGGGGCCGGGGGCGGAGCUCCGGACCUCUUACCUCGAAGAAACCGGGGUGUCCAAGGCGGGCCCGUCACCGACGGCGCCUCGAACGUCGCAGCACGGGAUAACCAUCGCGGGCCGAGCCCCCGAAACGUCGGUCCCGGGGGCGCGGCGCACGGUCGACGGGGACGGUCGGGGCCAUCGAUAUUUCGUCGUCAGAGGUGAAAUUCUCGGAUUGACGAAAGAUCGACGAGGGCGAAGGCUUUUGGCGAGGACGCCCCCC
rnacentral:rRNA from 1 species